ensembl:lincRNA
GUCGCUCUCCGGGACCCAGGCUGGGAAGAGGAGGAUGGCAUCCACAUCUGCCAGGAGUGGGGACAAAAAGGACAUCAGGUCAUCUCAAGCUGCCGCCUCCUUAGGUGGAGGGCAGAAAUUAUCCUGCUCUGAAGAAUUCCUGACCCGAAUCAGCACAGAACUUACAGACGAAGCACUGUUUAUUGCUCGCUCCCGUUUGAGUCCUCUGCCCAAUAAGGAAAAGAACACAAAAGACCAAGGGACUCAGAUAUCUAGACAUGGUGAACGCUCUCCUUCUUCAUCUAGAGACCAGUCCCUGACUCACUCCCAACCAUAGCUGCUCUCCCCAGGAAUCUUCUGCCUCCUUGCCCAUCCUAGGCACAGUGCCCCUUAACUUCUAACUCAUUCAUUGUCACUACCCAGGAACCCCCUUGUCCCUACCUGCUCUAGCCACAACUCUUCUAAACAUGGGGAAAGUUGUUCCUUUAACUGGGGCCUCUAAUUCCAGUGUUCUUCACUAAGACCCGAGGCACUGACACCCGUUCCUGAUUCUCAGCCUAUUCUGUUGUCUUCUGUCAUCUCCAGCUCUGACAAAAAUCGAACCCGAACCAAGGCACACCUUCUGCCAUCUCCUCGUGAAAAGGGACCACUCCCCAACAGCCUGACAACUGGAGGAUGAGCUCGGCCCUCCCUAGUACUGCUCUCUCAGCUUCUUGCCUUCCCCCACUAUGUCCCUCAGUGAAAACCUCAAGGCCUCUCUUUUGCAACUGGCUAAGCCUCUCAUCUUGGGAGGAACUCCUGGUCAUAAGCAAUGCCACCUUUGAAACCAAGAAAAUCUUCUGGAACUGUCGCGGGGCCCUCCACCCUCCGUGGGCAAAUGCUACUGAGAAGAAAAGGUUUUAAUAAAGAACCAGGAUCCUCCCUUC